CUUGCUCCACCGGAAAAAGAGGAGUGGCAAACGGGUGAGUAACACGUGGGUAACCUGCCCAUCAAAAGGGGAUAACACUUGGAAACAGGUGCUAAUACCGUAUAACAAUCAAAACCGCAUGGUUUUGAUUUGAAAGGCGCUUUCGGGUGUCGCUGAUGGAUGGACCCGCGGUGCAUUAGCUAGUUGGUGAGGUAACGGCUCACCAAGGCCACGAUGCAUAGCCAACCUGAGAGGGUGAUCGGCCACAUUGGGACUGAGACACGGCCCAAACUCCUACGGGAGGCAGCAGUAGGGAAUCUUCGGCAAUGGACGAAAGUCUGACCGAGCAACGCCGCGUGAGUGAAGAAGGUUUUCGGAUCGUAAAACUCUGUUGUUAGAGAAGAACAAGGAUGAGAGUAACUGUUCAUCCCUUGACGGUAUCUAACCAGAAAGCCACGGCUAACUACGUGCCAGCAGCCGCGGUAAUACGUAGGUGGCAAGCGUUGUCCGGAUUUAUUGGGCGUAAAGCGAGCGCAGGCGGUUUCUUAAGUCUGAUGUGAAA
rnacentral:rRNA from 1 species